AGAGUUUGAUCCUGGCUCAGGAUGAACGCUAGCGGCAGGCUUAAUACAUGCAAGUCGAGGGGCAGCAGGGUGUAGCAAUACAUCGCUGGCGACCGGCAAACGGGUGCGGAACACGUACGCAACCUUCCUUUAAGUGGGGAAUAGCCCAGGGAAACUUGGAUUAAUACCUCGUAACAUUAUGAAGUGGCAUCAUUUUAUAAUUAAAGCUCAGGCGCUUAAAGAUGGGCCCGCGCCUGAUUAGCUAGUUGGCAGGGUAACGGCUCACCAAGGCGUCGACGGGUAGCUGGUCUGAGAGGACGACCAGCCACACUGGGACUGAGACACGGCCCAGACUCCUACGGGAGGCAGCAGUGGGGAAUCUUGCGCAAUGGGCGAAAGCCUGACGCAGCAACGCCGCGUGGGGGAUGAAUGCUUUCGGGUUGUAAACCCCUUUCAGCGGGAACGAAAUUGACGGUACCCGCAGAAGAAGCUCCGGCCAACUACGUGCCAGCAGCCGCGGUAAUACGUAGAGAGCAAGCGUUGUCCGGAUUUACUGGGCGUAAAGAGCUCGUAGGCGGUUUGCCAAGUCGAAAGUCAAAACUACAGGCUCAACUUGUAGUCGCUUUCGAUACUGGUAUGACUUGAAUCUGGUAGGGGAUCACGGAAUUCCUGGUGUAGCGGUGAAAUGCGUAGA
rnacentral:rRNA from 1 species